UGAAACAUCUAAGUACCUGAAGGAAGAGAAAGAAAUUCGAUUCCGUAAGUAGCGGCGAGCGAACGCGGAUUAGCCCAAACCAAUAAAGUUUUCUUUAUUGGGGUUGCGGACAUAUCAUAACGAAGAGGUAUCGUAAUUGAAGAGGUUUGGAAAGACCCACCACAGAAGGUAAUAGUCCUGUAUGUUAAACGAGAAGACUUCAGAUAUGAUCCAGAGUACCACGGGACACGUGAAACCCUGUGGGAAGCAGGAGGGACCACCCUCCAAGGCUAAAUACUACCUAGUGACCGAUAGCGUAUAGUACCGUGAGGGAAAGGUGAAAAGAACCCCGGGAGGGGAGUGAAAUAGAACCUGAAACCCUGCACUUACAAGCUGUGGAAGCACAUUUCUUGUGUGACCGCGUACUUUUUGUAGAACGGGCCAACGAGUUACGUUAAGUAGCAAGGUUAAGCACUUAAGGUGUGGAGCCGUAGCGAAAGCGAGUUUUAACUGAGCGUUCAGUUACUUGACGUAGACCCGAAACCGGGCGACCUACCCAUGAGCAGGAUGAAGCGAAAGUAAAAUUUCGUGGAGGUCCGAACCCACGAGCGUUGAAAAGCUCGGGGAUGACUUGUGGGUAGCGGUGAAAUUCCAAUCGAGCCCGGAGAUAGCUGGUUCUCCCCGAAAUAGCUUUAGGGCUAGCCUCAAGGUGAGAGAUACGGAGGUAGAGCACUGAAUGUCCUAGGGGGUAUUGCACCUACCGAAGACUAUCAAACUCCGAAUGCCGUCAUCUUAUACUUGGGAGUCAGACUGUGGGUGAUAAGAUUCAUAGUCGAAAGGGCAACAGCCCAGAUCGUCAGCUAAGGUCCCUAAAUGUAAGUUAAGUGGUAAAGGAUGUGGGAUUGCACAGACAACCAGGAUGUUGGCUUAGAAGCAGCCACUCAUUCAAAGAGUGCGUAAUAGCUCACUGGUCGAGUGAUCCUGCGCCGAAGAUUUCCGGGGCUAAAACUUACUACCGAAGCUACGGCAUCAGUAAUGAUGGGUAGGGGAGCUUCCCAUACGGGUUGAAGCAUGACCGUAAGGACAUGUGGACAGUAUGGGAGUGAGAAUGUUGGCAUGAGUAGCGAGAUGUGGGUGAGAAUCCCACAGGCCGUAAACCCAAGGUUUCCAGGGGAAGGUUCGUCCGCCCUGGGUUAGUCGGGACCUAAGCUGAGGCCGAAAGGCGUAGGUGAUGGACAACAGGUUGAUAUUCCUGUACUACCGAUAACCGUUUGAGAGAAGGGAUGACACAGUAGGAUAAGCUAAGCACACUGUUGGUUAUGUGUGCCCAAGCAUUGAGGCAGUCAAAGUAGGCAAAUCCGCUUUGAUAAUGCUGGGAUGUGAUGGGGAGCGAAAUUUAGUAGCGAAGUAGCUGAUUUCACACUGUCAAGAAAAGUCUCUAUCGAGGUUAAAGGUACCCGUACCGCAAACCGACACAGGUGGGUGAGGAGAGUAUCCUAAGGCCAGCGAGAGAACUGUUGUUAAGGAACUCGGCAAAAUGACCCCGUAACUUAGGGAUAAGGGGUGCCACCAUCAGGUGGCCGCAGAGAAUAGGCCCAAGCGACUGUUUACCAAAAACAUAGGUUUCUGCUAAGUCGCAAGACGAUGUAUAGGAGCUGACGCCUGCCCGGUGCUGGAAGGUUAAGGGGAUCUGUUAGAGCAAUCGAAGCAGUGAACUUAAGCCCCAGUAAACGGCGGCCGUAACUAUAACGGUCCUAAGGUAGCGAAAUUCCUUGUCGGGUAAGUUCCGACCCGCACGAAAGGCGUAACGAUUUGGGCACUGUCUCAACAACAGACUCGGUGAAAUUGUAAUUCCGGUGAAGAUGCCGGAUACCUGCGACAGGACGGAAAGACCCCAUGGAGCUUUACUGUAGCUUGACAUUGGGUCUUGGUACUACAUGUACAGGAUAGGUGGGAGGCUUUGAAACCAGGACGCCAGUUUUGGCGGAGCCAUCCUUGGGAUACCACCCUUGUAGUACUGGGACUCUAACCAUAGGCCAUGAAUCUGGUCUUGGGACACUGUCAGGUGGGCAGUUUGACUGGGGCGGUCGCCUCCCAAAAGGUAACGGAGGCGCUCAAAGGUUCUCUCAGUACGGUCGGAAAUCGUACGUAGAGUGUAAAGGCAAAAGAGAGCUUGAUUGCAAGACAUACAGGUCGAGCAAGGAUGAAAAUCGGACUUAGUGAUCCGGUGGUUCUGCGUGGAAGGGCCAUCGCUCAACGGAUAAAAGCUACCCUGGGGAUAACAGGCUUAUCUCCCCCAAGAGUCCACAUCGACGGGGAGGUUUGGCACCUCGAUGUCGGCUCAUCACAUCCUGGGGCUGUAGUAGGUCCCAAGGGUUGGGCUGUUCGCCCAUUAAAGUGGUACGCGAGCUGGGUUCAGAACGUCGUGAGACAGUUCGGUCCCUAUCCGUCGCAGGCGUAGGAAAUUUGAGAAGACCUGUCCUUAGUACGAGAGGACCGGGAUGGACGUACCUCUGGUGUACCAGUUGUUCUGCCAAGGGCAUGGCUGGGUAGCUAUGUACGGAAUGGAUAAGCGCUGAAAGCAUCUAAGCGCGAAGCCAACUUCAAGAUAAGAUUUCCCACCGCAAGGGUAAGACCCCAGAAAGACUAUCUGGUUGAUAGGUCGAAGGUGUAAGUGCAGCAAUGUAUUUAGCUUAUCGAUACUAAUAGGUCGAGGACUUGACCAA
rnacentral:rRNA from 1 species